GAUGAACGCUGGCGGCGUGCCUAAUACAUGCAAGUCGAGCGAACAGACGAGGAGCUUGCUCCUCUGACGUUAGCGGCGGACGGGUGAGUAACACGUGGAUAACCUACCUAUAAGACUGGGAUAACUUCGGGAAACCGGAGCUAAUACCGGAUAAUAUAUUGAACCGCAUGGUUCAAUAGUGAAAGACGGUUUUGCUGUCACUUAUAGAUGGAUCCGCGCCGCAUUAGCUAGUUGGUAAGGUAACGGCUUACCGAGGCAACGAUGCGUAGCCGACCGGAGAGGGGGAUCGGCCACACUAGAACGGGAACCGGGACCAGGCUACGAAGGGAGGGAGCAGAAGGGAAUCGUACGCAAUGGGCGAAAGCCUGGCGGAACAACGGCGAGUGAGUGAUGGAGGUCUUCGGAUCGUAAAAACCUGUUAUUAGGGAAAAACAAAUGUGUAAGUAAAUAUGGCGGACUUGACGGUACCUAAACAAGAAGCCACGGCUAACUACGUG
rnacentral:rRNA from 1 species